UACGUAGGUGGCGAGCGUUGUCCGGAUUUACUGGGCGUAAAGGGAGCGUAGGCGGAUUUUUAAGUGAGAUGUGAAAUACUCGGGCUCAACUUGAGUGCUGCAUUUCAAACUGGAAGUCUAGAGUGCAGGAGAGGAGAAUGGAAUUCCUAGUGUAGCGGUGAAAUGCGUAGAGAUUAGGAAGAACACCAGUGGCGAAGGCGAUUCUCUGGACUGUAACUGACGCUGAGGCUCGAAAGCGCGGGGAGCAAACAGG
rnacentral:rRNA from 1 species